UGUUGGGAACGGGUGCUCGGUGUUGCAGAA
rnacentral:piRNA from 1 species